GUUUUAAAGGUAAUUGAUAUUUGAUUAAUAAAAUAUUUUUUUGUUUAUGUAUUUAUUUUAGAUUUAAUUUAUUUAUGUUAUAGUUGAUUUUUACUGUGAGGGUGAAUUAUUUUUUGAUUUAUAUUGUUUUAAGUUAAUUUUAUUUGUUGUACCUUUUGUAUCAGGGUUUAUUUAAAAUAAAGUAUUUAUUUGUCUUUCUCGAUAUUGAAAGAGUUAAGUAGUUAUUCCUUUCACUGUGGUAUAACUGUUGUUAAUAAUUACUUGGUAAUGAAAUGUUAUUCGUUUUCAAUUUUAUCUAGUUUUCUAAGAAAUAAAUUUAAUUUAUUUCUAUCUUUUAGAUGUAUUUAAUGAUUUAAUUUGUUUUUAGUUGGUUUUUAUAUUUUAGGGGAUAAGCUCUUUAGUGGAUUUGCUAUAAUUUUGUUUUUAUAAUUUAUUUUAUGGAUUUAGAGGUAAUUAUUAAUUGAAGGAUGUUUAAAUUUUAUUUAUAUAGGUUGGGAUUUAUUUUUGUUAUUUUAGCUUUAUUAUUAGAAUUUUUGAUUUAAUUAUUUAUUUAUUGUAAUAAUGAUUGAAUUAGUAUAUUUAUAUAUUUGAUAAUUUGUUUAUGUUUAAAUAUUUAUGUUUUUAUAAGGAACUAGACAUAAAAUAAAGUAUCCGCCUGUUUAACAAAAACAUCUUUUCUUGUAUUUUAUUUGAAAUAUGGCCUGCUCACUGAUAAAGAUUUAUUAUUUAAGAGCCGCGGUAUUUUGACCGUGCAAAGGUAGCAUAAUCAUUAGUCUUUUUAUUGAAGGCUGGAAUGAAUGGUUUGACGAGAUAUAAUUUGUCUUAUUUAAAUUGUUAUUUGAAUUUAAUUAUUUAGUUAGAAAGCUUAAAAUUUUUUUGUGGGACGAGAAGACCCUAUAGAGUUUUAUAAUUUUAUUAUUAUUUAUGGUUUGUUAAUUAUUUAUAUUUUGUUAUUAUUUGAUUGGGGUGAUAGGGGUAUAAUAUAUGAAACUUCUUUUUGUUGUUAAAUGUUUAUUGAUAGUAUAAUGAUCCACUUAUAUUUGUGAUUAUAAGUAUAAAUUACCUUAGGGAUAACAGCGUAAUCUUUUCUGAAAGUUCUUAUUGAAGAUAAGGGUUGCGACCUCGAUGUUGGAUUAAGAAGAAUAUUUGGUGUAGAAUUUAAAUUUAUUAGGUCUGUUCGACCUUUAAAAUCUUACAUGAUCUGAGUUCAAACCGGCGUGAGCCAGGUUGGUUUCUAUCUAUAAGUUUUUAUUACACUUUAGUACGAGAGGACCAAGUGUUGGUAAUAAUUGUUUAUAUAUUGAUUUUCAAUAAUUUGUUACUAUUUUGGCAGAUAAGUGCAAUGGAUUUAGAAUCUU
rnacentral:rRNA from 1 species